GUGACAUACCUAAAACGUUGCUUCGGCGGGAACAGACGGCCCUGUAACAACGGGCCGCCCCCGCCAGAGGACCCCUAACUCUGUUUUUAUAAUGUUUUUCUGAGUAAACAAGCAAAUAAAUUAAAACUUUCAACAACGGAUCUCUUGGCUCUGGCAUCGAUGAAGAACGCAGCGAAAUGCGAUAAGUAAUGUGAAUUGCAGAAUUCAGUGAAUCAUCGAAUCUUUGAACGCACAUUGCGCCCGCCAGUAUUCUGGCGGGCAUGCCUGUUCGAGCGUCAUUACAACCCUCAGGCCCCCGGGCCUGGCGUUGGGGAUCGGCAGAAGCCCCCUGUGGGCACACGCCGUCCCUCAAAUACAGUGGCGGUCCCGCCGCAGCUUCCAUUGCGUAGUAGCUAACACCUCGCAACUGGAGAGCGGCGCGGCCAUGCCGUAAAACACCCAACUUCUGAAUGUUGACCUCGAAUCAGGUAGGAAUACCCGCUGAACUUAAGCAUAUCAAUA
rnacentral:rRNA from 1 species